rnacentral:lncRNA from 1 species
GAACGUCUACAUGGCGAAACUAGCCGAGCAAGCCGAGCGCUACGAAGAGAUGGUGGAGUUCAUGGAGAAGGUCUCGGCCGCCGUGGAUUCCGAGGAACUCACUGUCGAGGAACGGAACCUCCUCUCCGUCGCCUACAAGAACGUGAUCGGUGCUCGUCGAGCCUCCUGGCGCAUUAUUUCAUCCAUCGAGCAGAAGGAGGAGAGCCGCGGCAACGAGGACCACGUUGCCAUGAUCCGCGACUACAGAUCUAAGAUCGAGUCCGAGCUCUCCUCGAUCUGCGAUGGUAUUCUCAAGCUUCUUGAUUCCCGGCUGAUUCCCUCGGCUUCCUCCGGAGACUCCAAGGUCUUUUAUCUGAAGAUGAAGGGCGAUUAUCAUCGCUAUCUGGCCGAGUUUAAAACUGGAGCCGAGCGCAAGGAGGCGGCUGAGAGUACCCUCAC